rnacentral:rRNA from 1 species
GAUGAACGCUGGCGGCGUGCCUAAUACAUGCAAGUCGAGCGAAUGGAUUAAGAGCUUGCUCUUAUGAAGUUAGCGGCGGACGGGUGAGUAACACGUGAGUAACCUGCCCAUAAGACUGGGAUAACUCCGGGAAACCGGGGCUAAUACCGGAUAGCAUUUUGAACCGCAUGGUUCGAAAUUGAAAGGCGGCUUCGGCUGUCACUUAUGGAUGGACCCGCGUCGCAUUAGCUAGUUGGUGAGGUAACGGCUCACCAAGGCAACGAUGCGUAGCCGACCUGGGAGGGUGAUCGGCCACACUGGGACUGAGACACGGCCCAGACUCCUACGGGAGGCAGCAGUAGGGAAUCUUCCGCAAUGGACGAAAGUCUGACGGAGCAACGCCGCGUGAGUGAUGAAGGCUUUCGGGUCGUAAAACUCUGUUGUUAGGGAAGAACAAGUGCUAGUUGAAUAAGCUGGCACCUUGACGGUACCUAACCAGAAAGCCACGGCUAACUACGUGCCAGCCGCCGCGGUAA